rnacentral:rRNA from 1 species
UACUACGGAGAGUUUGAUCCUGGCUCAGGACGAACGCUGGCGGCGGGCUUAACACAUGCAAGUCGAACGAGAAAGGGGCCUUCGGGCCCUGAGUAAAGUGGCGCACGGGUGAGUAACGCGUAGGCAAUCUGCCCUCAGGCGGGGAAUAACCACGGGAAACCGUGGCUAAUACCACAUAACGUCGGAGGUCCGCAUGGACCACCGACCAAAGGCUUCGGCCACCUGAGGAUGAGCCUGCGUCGGAUUAGCUAGUUGGUGGGAUAACAGCCCACCAAGGCAACGAUCCGUAGCGGGUCUGAGAGGAUGAUCCGCCACACUGGCACUGAGACACGGGCCAGACUCCUACGGGAGGCAGCAGUGAGGAAUAUUGCGCAAUGGAGGAAACUCUGACGCAGCCACGCCGCGUGCAGGAAGACACCCCUCAGGGGCGUAAACUGCUUUUGUACGGGAAGAACACCUCCUCUCGGGGAGGUCUGACGGUACCGUACGAAUAAGGACCGGCUAACUCCGUGCCAGCAGCCGCGGUAAUACGGAGGGUCCAAGCGUUGUCCGGAAUCACUGGGUGUAAAGGGUGCGCAGGCGGGCUUGUAAGUCAGGGGUGAAAGCCACCGGCCUAACCGGUGAAUUGCCCUUGAUACUGCAAGUCUUGAGUCCCGGAGAGGCUAUCGGAAUUCGUGGUGUAGCGGUGAAAUGCGUAAAUAUCACGAGGAACACCUAAUGCGUAGGCAGAUAGCUGGACGGGUACUGACGCUCAGGCACGAAAGCGUGGGGAGCGAACAGGAUUAGAUACCCUGGUAGUCCACGCCGUAAACGAUGGAUGCUCGAUGUUGCACCGCUUCAGGUGCAGUGUCUAAGCUAACGCGUUAAGCAUCCCACCUGGGGAGUACGAUCGCAAGGUUGAAACUCAAAGGAAUUGACGGGGGCCCGCACAAGCGGUGGAGCAUGUGGAUUAAUUCGAUGCAACGCGAAGAACCUUACCCAGGCUCGAACGCUACCGGACAGGUCCUGAAAGGGACCCUUCUUCGGACUGGUAGCGAGGUGCUGCAUGGCUGUCGUCAGUUCGUGUCGUGAGAUGUUGGGUUAAGUCCCGCAACGAACGCAACCCCUAUCGCUAGUUACCAGCGGGUUAUGCCGGGGACUCUAGCGAGACUGCCUGCGCAAGCAGUGAGGAAGGUGGGGACGACGUCAAGUCAUCAUGGCCCUUACGCCUGGGGCUUCACACGUGCUACAAUGGCCGGUACAAUGGGCAGCCACUCCGCGAGGAGGAGCGAAUCCAUAAAGCCGGUCUCAGUUCGGAUCGGAGUCUGCAACCCGACUCCGUGAAGCUGGAAUCGCUAGUAAUCGCGUAUCAGCAACGACGCGGUGAAUACGUUCCCGGGCCUUGUACACACCGCCCGUCAAGCCAUGGAAGUUGAGGGCGCCCGAAGUCCGUGACCCAACCCCUCGGGGAGGGAGCGGCCGAAGGUGAACUCAGUGACUGGGGCUAAGUCGUAACAAGGUAGCCGUACCGGAAGGUGCGGCUGGAUUACCUC